rnacentral:rRNA from 1 species
AUGCACGCUGGCGGCGUGCCUAAUACAUGCAAGUCGAGCGAACGGACGAGAAGCUUGCUUCUCUGAUGUUAGCGGCGGACGGGUGAGUAACACGUGGAUAACCUACCUAUAAGACUGGGAUAACUUCGGGAAACCGGAGCUAAUACCGGAUAAUAUUUUGAACCGCAUGGUUCAAAAGUGAAAGACGGUCUUGCUGUCACUUAUAGAUGGAUCCGCGCUGCAUUAGCUAGUUGGUAAGGUAACGGCUUACCAAGGCAACGAUGCAUAGCCGACCUGAGAGGGUGAUCGGCCACACUGGAACUGAGACACGGUCCAGACUCCUACGGGAGGCAGCAGUAGGGAAUCUUCCGCAAUGGGCGAAAGCCUGACGGAGCAGCGCCGCGUGAGUGAUGAAGGUCUUCGGAUCGUAAAACUCUGUUAUUAGGGAAGAACAUAUGUGUAAGUAACUGUGCACAUCUUGACGGUACCUAAUCAGAAAGCCACGGCUAACUACGUG